rnacentral:rRNA from 1 species
CUACGGGACGCAGCAGUGGGGAAUAUUGGACAAUGGGGGAAACCCUGAUCCAGCAAUGCCGCGUGUGUGAAGAAGGCCUGCGGGUUGUAAAGCACUUUCGGUUGGGAGGACUGCUUCUAGCACUAAUAUUGUUGGAAGUUGACGUUACCUUCAGAAGAAGCACCGGCUAACUCCGUGCCAGCAGCCGCGGUAAUACGGAGGGUGCAAGCGGUAAUCGGAAUUACUGGGCGUAAAGCGCGCGUAGGCGGCUAGAUCAGUCGGGUGUGAAAGCCCCGGGCUUAACCUGGGAACUGCAUCCGAUACUGUCUAGCUUGAGUACAGGAGAGGAGAGUGGAAUUCCAGAUGUAGCGGUGAAAUGCGUAGAUAUGUGGAGGAACACCAAUGGCGAAGGCAGCUCUCUGGCCUGAUACUGACGCUGAGGUGCGAAAGCGUGGGGAGCAAACAGGAUUAGAUACCCGAGUAGUC